GCUCUUGUAGCUGUCGUAGAUGCAGUUGAUAUGAUACAAUAUGCCAGUGCAUAGUUGGAUAUACUUAUCCACUAAGUAUAAAUUAACCUUGUAUAUAGAAAAACAAAUGUCAUCCAUUUUAUUACUUAGGUACAUGCCUGGGGUAGAUACCCUUUCGGAUAUGUGCUCCCCUUGGAAUUGAGUUUAGCAAGAAACUACACAGAUGGAGAUCUUCCUUGGUCAAUCGUCUUAAGGCUACUGAUUCGCGAUAGUGCUCUAAAGUAGUCAGUCUUCUCGUGCCCUUCGUGUCAACCCAAGUCCGGUUCUUAUACUUUCCCCGACAACCUUCAUGUCUUCCACCGAGUGGAUGCCGCAGGCGCGAAGAGAAGCCAUAGAGGCGGAGGCGGUGGCGCCGACGAAAAGCGAGGCGACGGCGAAGGCUUUAAGUGGCAUCAUUCGACAUUCGCCGGCAAAACCUCUCCUAUAAGCGUAAAUUCCCCAUAGUAACUGACCUGUACUCGCGGCUGCCCACCAUCGGUAUCUGGACGUGCCGUCAACAGCGGCGUUUUCUUCGUUUUGGUUCAUUACCGCUUCAUCCCCUCCUAUAAGCGUAAAUUCCCCAUAGUAACUGACCUGUACUCGCGGCUGCCCACCAUCGGUAUCUGGACGUGCCGUCAACAGCGGCGUUUUCUUCGUUUUGGUUCAUUACCGCUUCAUC
rnacentral:misc_RNA from 1 species